ACCACAACUGCGGUUCCCGCCCUAAGGGGCGGGAUUCCUGAAUUCGGACAUGCGCACACUGAGUUUGCCGCGCGCCGCUCUCUCCUGUGGCAUCGUGGGAAAUGUAGUUUUCAGACCUUUCAGCAAGGAGGGGAGAAGGAGAUGUGCCUGGCUGGAAGCAUCCCGGAGCUCGCCCUUCCAGAGAAGGCAGGAACCCUUGGAAUGGAGAUUAAAGUUAUGGCACGGAAACUGCUUUUAACACACGGGUUUCAUAUCAUUAUGACAUUUAUCUUUAUUGGGGAAAGCCUCACAAAAUGCCUCUGGACUCCUGACAUUGCUUCAGCUUGUGACUCUGCAUUCCAGCCCAGAGGAAUGAAGAUGGUGACAGAUGCAGUCUUCUGGUCUGGUGCUCCCCUCAGCACCAGCAAUAUAUCCAACUACAUUCUGCUUGGAGAAGACCCAUUGAAAUUAGUGGAUCUAAUAUGAUCAUGCGUAUUGACUUAAUUGGGUCUACUCUGAUCAGGACUAGCACUGGAUGCAGCUCCUAAUGGGCAUAUCUUUCAGUAACAGCUUCUUUUCCCCUCUUCCACAUCUGAAUGUAGCAAGGAGAACAGACGUCAGAAAGGAAAAAUGUGGGUUAAAAAUAUAUAUACCGCCUUUCAAAAUAAAAUUAUUCCCAGGGCAGUUUACAUAGUUA